GUCCAACCUGCCCAGUGAAUAAAAUUUUAAACGGCCGCGGUAUCCUAACCGUGCAAAGGUAGCAUAAUCACUUGUUCCCUAAAUGGGGACUUGUAUGAACGGUUUAAUGAGGGUUUGACUGUCUCUUGCAACCAAUCAAUGAAAUUGAUCUUACAGUACAAACGCUGUAAUAUAACUAUAAGACGAGAAGACCCCGUGGAGCUUUAAAUUCCUAUAUUAACUAUCUCCUACACCUUAUAGUAUAAUGUAUAAUUUUAAGUUGGGGCGACUAUGGAGUAAAAAGAAACCUCCACAUAAUAUGGCUAAUUCCAUUAUAUUAGGACCACACACCAAACCUAAAACACUUGACCCAGUAAAACUGAUUAAUGAACCAAGUUACCCCGGGGAUAACAGCGCCAUCCCCCUAAAGAGUCCACAUCGCCAGGGGGGUUUACGACCUCGAUGUUGGAUCAGGACUUCCCAGUGGUGUAGACGCUACUAAAGGUUCGUUUGUUCAACGAA
rnacentral:rRNA from 1 species